rnacentral:rRNA from 1 species
GACGAACGCUGGCGGCGUGCUUAACACAUGCAAGUCGAACGGAAAGGCCCUGCUUUUGUGGGGUGCUCGAGUGGCGAACGGGUGAGUAACACGUGAGUAACCUGCCCUUGACUUUGGGAUAACUUCAGGAAACUGGGGCUAAUACCGGAUAGGAGCUCCUGCUGCAUGGUGGGGGUUGGAAAGUUUCGGCGGUUGGGGAUGGACUCGCGGCUUAUCAGCUUGUUGGUGGGGUAGUGGCUUACCAAGGCUUUGACGGGUAGCCGGCCUGAGAGGGUGACCGGCCACAUUGGGACUGAGAUGCGGCCCAGACUCCUACGGGAGGCAGCGGUGGAGAGUAUUACACAAUGGGCGGAAGCCUGAUGCAGCAACGCCGCGUGCGGGAUGACGGCCUUCGGGUUGUAAACCGCUUUCGCCUGUGACGAAGCGUGAGUGACGGUAAUGGGUAAAGAAGCACCGGCUAACUACGUG